rnacentral:lncRNA from 1 species
GCGGAGGCAGUCCCUGUUCCGUGACCUUCGGUGGCAACCGCGCUCUCCCGGCCUAACGAUGGUGCAAAAUAUGAUUCCAAAGUCAUGGAGAGCCAUGAAAUUCUACUUCACUACUGUUUACCAAGAAAUAUGGGUUGGUCUAGCAUUAACAGCGUAUGCCUAUUACAAAAUUUCGUACGGUGGAACAGGAAAUUUUUUAAAAACUCAUUGUUCAGCUUGUUUUUCUUUCUCUCUAGGCAAAAAAGCAGUGGCGGAUAGUAAGUAUUAACUAUUACUUGUAUUAUUUUAAAUUAGUGCACUAAACAGAGCAUAUUUUACAUAAGCUUGGGUUUUAUUUAACCAAUUUAGUAGGUGUUUAAAGGCUGCCUCAAAGUAU